GCCCGCAUAGCUCAGUCGGUAGAGCAUCAGACUUUUAAUCUGAGGGUCGUGGGUUCAAGUCCCCCUGCGGGCG
rnacentral:tRNA from 2 species